rnacentral:rRNA from 1 species
AUUGAACGCUGGCGGCAGGCCUAACACAUGCAAGUCGAACGAGUGGCGGACGGGUGAGAAAUGUCUGGGAAUCUGCCUGAUGGAGGGGGAAAACUUCUGGAAACGGUAGCUUACACCGCAUACCAUCAUAUGUGCCCAGAUGGGUUUAGCUAGUUGGUGGGGUAACGGCUCACCAAGGCGACGACCCCUAGCUGGUCUGAGAGGAUGACCAGCCACACUGGGACUGAGACACGGUCCAGACUCCUACGGGAGGCAGCAGUGGGGAAUAUUGCACAAUGGGCGCAAGCCUGAUGCAGCCAUGCCGCGUGUAUGAAGAAGGCCUUCGGGUUGUAAAGUACUUUCAGCGGGGAGGCGUUACCCGCAGAAGAAGCACCGGCUAACUCCGUGCCAGCAGCCGCGGUAAUUC